rnacentral:rRNA from 1 species
CUAGUUGGCGAGGUAACGGCUCACCAAGGCAACGACGGGUAGCUGGUCUGAGAGGAUGGCCAGCCACAUUGGGACUGAGAUACGGCCCAGACUCCUACGGGAGGCAGCAGUGGGGAAUCUUGCGCAAUGGCCUAACGGCUGACGCAGCGACGCCGCGUGUGGGAUGAAGCUCUUCGGAGUGUAAACCACUGUUGCCCGGGACGAAUAGCUCGAUUAAUCGAGCCUGACAGUACCGGGUGAGGAAGCACCGGCUAACUCCGUGCCAGCAGCCGCGGUAAUACGGGGGGUGCGAGCGUUGUCCGGAAUCACUGGGCGUAAAGGGCGCGUAGGUGGUUUGAUAAGGGUGUGGUGAAAGUCCGGGGCUCAACCCCGGAUCUGCCGUGCCGACUGUCAAACUCGAGGACUGUAGAGGCAGACGGAAUUCCGGGUGUAGCGGUGGAAUGCGUAGAGAUCCGGAGGAAGACCGGUGGCGAAGGCGGUCUGCUGGGCAGUUUCUGACACUGAGGCGCGACAGCGUGGGGAGCAAACAGGAUUAGAUACCCUGGUAGUCCACGCCGUAAACGAUGGGUACUAGGUGCCUGGGGGAGCGACCCUCUGGGUGCCGGCGCUAACGCAGGAAGUACCCCGCCUGGGGAGUACGACCGCAAGGUUGAAACUCAAAGGAAUUGACG